AGUAGGGCCUGCCAUCAUUCACUAUGAACUGGACUGUGUGUUUACAGGCAGUAGGGCCUGCCAUCAUUCACUAUGAACUGGACUGUGUGUUUACAGGCCGUAACAACAGCGUGACUUCAGAUCAUUAGAACACUUUCACCAAAAGACACAAAAUACACCUGAAUAGAUUUCUGUAAAUAUUUAAAAACACAACGGGAGUCCUCAUACAUUAGGGAACUUUACAGUCCUAUUGAUUAAACAACCAUGAAAAGGUAGACUCUCGCUCCCUUUGUUAUACACAUCAACAACAACCAGAUCAACAACUUAUGCUAGCCAGAACAAGAUGAACUCAUAUCUAACAAAGAAACAUUAGGUAAACCCUCUCAAACUUUUCCAGCUAGUUGGCUGUCAAAAUUGGACUGAUAAACGACGGAGCUUACCCACCAAUGCAUGCUUGUCCCAACCCACGCUUUGACAACUGAAUGGGAACUUGCCUGCCCUCACAUUUGAUCGAUGCCAAAUACAUUUGAUUGACAACUAAUGGUGCGUUCAUAAUUGCCUCCAGUGUGUCAGAAUGCGAUCUGGGUCGUUUGUAAAUUCAGAGCGUUUCGCUGUCUCAGUGUUCUGUUAUGGAUGGUUGUGUCAACUACAACAAUGUCUCAGUGUUCUGUUAUGGAAGGUUGAGUCAACUACAACAAUGUCUCAGUGUUCUGUUAUGGAAGGUUGAGUCAACUACAACAAUGUCUCAGUGUUCUGUUAUGGAAGGUUGUGUCAACUACAACAAUGUCUCAGUGUUCUGUUAUGGAAGGUUGAGUCAACUACAACAAUGUCUCAGUGUUCUGUUAUGGAAGGUUGAGUCAACUACAACAAUGUCUCAGUGUUCUGUUAUGGAAGGUUGAGUCAACUACAACAAUGUCUCAGUGUUCUGUUAUGGAAGGUUGUGUCAACUACAACAAUGUCUCAGUGUUCUGUUAUGGAAGGUUGAGUCAACUACAACAAUGUCUCAGUGUUCUGUUAUGGAAGGUUGAGUCAACUACAACAAUGUCUCAGUGUUCUGUUAUGGAAGGUUGAGUCAACUACAACAAUGUAUCAGUGUUCUGUUAUGGAAGGUUGAGUCAACUACAACAAUGUCUCAGUGUUCUGUUAUGGAAGGUUGAGUCAACUACAACAAUGUCUCAGUGUUCUGUUAUGGAAGGUUGCGUCAACUACAACAAUGUCUCAGUGUUCUGUUAUGGAACGUUGAGUCAACUACAACAAUGUCUCAGUGUUCUGUUAUGGAAGGUUGAGUCAACUACAACAAUGUCUCAGUGUUCUGUUAUGGAAGGUUGUGUCAACUACAACAAUGUCUCAGUGUUCUGUUAUGGAAGGUUGAGUCAACUACAACAAUGUCUCAGUGUUUUGUUAUGGAAGGUUGUGUCAACUACAACAAUGUCUUAUUCUACGUCAUGGAUUUUUGGCUCAAAUAGAACAUAUUUUUAAAACCCCUUUACGAAGUUGGUUUUGUAGCAUGAACUGGGAAUGUGAUAUUUUUGACUGAUAUUAUGAUUGUCUGUUUGUUUCAUGCUUGCCAAGUAGUUAAAACACUUUCCCUUCCACUCUACAUUAUUACUGUAAUGAUGCUCUUAUUACAUAUGUGUUAACUGUUGUUACUUCUGUUGUCAAUUCACUUGUUUCAUAUGUUGUUAAUGUUGUUACCAAUUUGAAUAAAUGUAUUUGAUGUACAAAUGUAUUGUU